AUUGAACGCUGGCGGAAUGCUUUACACAUGCAAGUCGAACGGCAGCACGGGUGCUUGCACCUGGUGGCGAGUGGCGAACGAGUGAGUAACAUAUCGGAACGUGCCCAGUAAUGGGGGAUAACUAACCGAAAGGUUAGCUAAUACCGCAUACGCCCUGAGGGGGAAAGCGGGGGAUCGAAAGACUCCGCGUUAUUGGAGCGGCCGAUAUCUGAUUAGCUAGUUGGUAGGGUAAAGGCCUACCAAGGCGACGAUCAGUAGCUGGUCUGAGAGGAUGAUCAGCCACACUGGGACUGAGACACGGCCCAGACUCCUACGGGAGGCAGCAGUGGGGAAUUUUGGACAAUGGGCGAAAGCCUGAUCCAGCCAUUCCGCGUGAGUGAAGAAGGCCUUCGGGUUGUAAAGCUCUUUCGGCAGGAACGAAACGCUCUAGAUUAAUACUCUGGGGUAAUGACGGUACCUGAAGAAGAAGCACCGGCUAACUACGUGCCAGCCGCCGCAGUAA
rnacentral:rRNA from 1 species